UACAGAGGUCCCAAGCGUUGUUCGGAUUCACUGGGCGUAAAGGGUGCGUAGGUUGGUUGGGUAAGUUUGAUGUGAAAUCUCCGGGCUUAACCCGGAAACUGCAUUGAAUACUAUCUGGCUUAGAGGGUUGGAGGGGGGACUGGAAUACUUGGUGUAGCAGUGAAAUGCGUAGAUAUCAAGUGGAACACCAGUGGCGAAGGCGAGUCCCUGGGACAACUCCUGACACUGAGGCACGAAAGCUAGGGGAGCAAACAGG
rnacentral:rRNA from 1 species